rnacentral:rRNA from 1 species
UGCGUAGGCGGGCUAAUAAGUCAGUGGUGAAAUCUCUCGGCUCAACCGGGAAACUGCCAUUGAUACUGUUAGUCUUGAGUUCGGUUGAGGUAGGCGGAAUGUGUAAUGUAGCGGUGAAAUGCUUAGAUAUUACACAGAACACCAAUUGCGUAGGCAGCUUACUAGACCGUCACUGACGCUGAGGCACGAAAGCGUGGGGAGCGAACAGGAUUAGAUACCCUGGUAGUCC